rnacentral:rRNA from 1 species
CCUACGGGUGGCAGCAGUGGGGAAUAUUGGACAAUGGGGGGAACCCUGAUCCAGCGACGCCGCGUGAGUGAAGAAGUAUUUCGGUAUGUAAAGCUCUAUCAGCAGGGAAGAAAGAAAUGACGGUACCUGACUAAGAAGCCCCGGCUAACUACGUGCCAGCAGCCGCGGUAAUACGUAGGGGGCAAGCGUUAUCCGGAUUUACUGGGUGUAAAGGGAGCGUAGACGGCGAUGCAAGUCUGAAGUGAAAGGCGGGGGCCCAACCCCUGGACUGCUUUGGAAACUGUGUAACUGGAGUACAGGAGGGGCAGGCGGAAUUCCUGGUGUAGCGGUGAAAUGCGUAGAUAUCAGGAGGAACACCGGCGGCGAAGGCGGCCUGCUGGACUGAAACUGACGUUGAGGCUCGAAAGCGUGGGGAGCAAACAGGAUUAGAUACCCCGGUAGUC